rnacentral:lncRNA from 1 species
UGCAGGAGACCAAGAACUGGGAUCCAGUUCCAGACCCAACUUGCUGCACAUCACUGACAGGUUGCAAAGCUAUCUGAGUCCACCCGGAGCACCUCUGUCCCCAGACCCUGCCUCCCAACUCACCCUUCUCUUCUCCUGUCCCAGCUUCACUGAAGGAGAAAGGAGCGGGUUUGGGAGGAGGAGGAGGACCCUGAGGAUGUCAAGGUUAAACACGAGGCUCUGAGCCCCGACUCCAUCUCUCCAGAUGCAGAACUUAGGGUCAUUUCUCCUCCACCCGGACAAGCUUCAGUUCAGUGGGGGUAAAACAGGAUGACUGAGGAAAACAUCCUAUGUGAGGAUUUAGCACUGUAACAGCCAGUGGAUGGCAGCAAUCAGAUCAUCAUCAUCGUCGUCGUCAUCGUCAUUAUUAUGACCCCAGUAGCCCAGCCCCUGGCAUCUUUAUUUUCUGACAGAGGAGUCUGAAGUGAGAGACAGUCCUUCUCCACAGACUGUGACUGAGGGCAGUGUUCACAGAAUCUUCCUGAGGGCCUGGAAGUCGGUAGCUAGAUGCUUCGGGACCGGCUGGGUUGAUUUAAAGAUGGAAAGGGGAUGUAAAGUUCCCACCACAAGGUGGCGGCAAAUGACAGCCCAUAGUUCCUGAAACGCCCGCAGCGGCGGGUUGCCAGGUGACCUGCGGUCUUGGGAUCUUUGUUCCCGUCGGGUUCAUCCAGAGAACCCGCAGCUCUGCCUGGGCAUCACCACAGUUAGCUGAUGUUGCCAGCAGGAAAGGGAUGAAGCUGAUGCGCCCAGAGGAUGUGAUUUCCAAGUCUAGCUGAAAGAGAUCCAGACACCCUGCACCCAGAUGGGGAGCUAUUUCACCAGGUGGGAUCACUCGUUUGCCUCCAGGGCGCCCAAGGCCAGGGGGCAGAGGGUGGGAGAAGAGAACCCACCCUGCACCUCCUACUCCACCUCCAGGACCCUCCUCUGUCCCUUGUAGUUCUGAUGGCGCAGACAGCCCCUGCACCGCGGAGAAGUUAAGCCCACGACUGGUCCCUGUGGCAAUCACAAACUUGUGGCUUGAAAAACAAUACAGACAUAUAGCCUCACAUUUCCAGAUAAAUAAAGCUCUGCAGGCUGCACAGGAUCCC